AAGUCGUAACAAGGUCUCCGUUGGUGAACCAGCGGAGGGAUCAUUACGAAAGCGUUUUUAACAGCGCAAAACCCACUGUGAACAUACCUGUUUGUUGCUUCGGCAGGCGGCCCCAGGGCGGGGCCAGCAGCCUGUAUUUUUUUCAGGCGCCUGCCGGAGGCCACUUAAAACUCUUUUGUAUACGUACUGUCUGAGCCUAAAACAAAAUACGUUAAAACUUUCAACAACGGAUCUCUUGGUUCUG
rnacentral:misc_RNA from 1 species